rnacentral:rRNA from 1 species
UACGUAGGGUGCAAGCGUUAAUCGGAAUUACUGGGCGUAAAGCGUGCGCAGGCGGUUUUGUAAGUCAGAUGUGAAAUCCCCGGGCUUAACCUGGGAACUGCAUUUGUGACUGGCGGGCUAGAGUAUGGCAGAGGGGGGUAGAAUUCCACGUGUAGCAGUGAAAUGCGUAGAGAUGUGGAGGAAUACCGAUGGCGAAGGCAGCCCCCUGGGCCAAUACUGACGCUCAUGCACGAAAGCGUGGGGAGCAAACAGG